UACGUAGGGUGCAAGCGUUAUCCGGAAUUAUUAGGCGUAAAGAGCUCGUAGGCGGUUUGUCGCGUCUGCUGUGAAAACCUAAGGCUCAACCUUGGGCUUGCAGUGGGUACGGGCAGACUAGAGUGCGGUAGGGGAGACUGGAAUUCCUGGUGUAGCGGUGAAAUGCGCAGAUAUCAGGAGGAACACCGGUGGCGAAGGCGGGGUCUCUGGGCCGUAACUGACGCUGGAGGAG
rnacentral:rRNA from 1 species